GUUUAUUAAACUUUAUAUGAAUGACAUAUACCGAAUAGUUUACCACGUGCUAUCUAGGAAAAGAAGUUUUAUUAUUUCAGAAAGUGAAGCAAGUUUUUGCAUAAGGUGUUUUGUGUAUUUCGAAUACAUGUUUUAAACACAUUUUAAUAUCGCUCAAGAUUUAACUGCGAGUGAUCGUAGCAAAUCAAAAAUCGAUUUGCGAUAUCGAUCUAUAAAGAUGAAAGAUUCGAUGUUAUGAAUUUUCAUAUCGUUUUACGAUUGGUAUCGUGAUCGUGAUGAAUGAAACAUUAAUUUAUGAAAUUUACCGAAUUCGCUAUAGAGCUACGAACUUAUUUAGAUUCGUCCGAAUGGUCAAAGAAUGGAAACAAAAGAUGUGUACUUGAAAUAUUUAUUUCACAAGCAAUUUAAGUACAAUCA